ensembl:lncRNA
ACAUUUUGAGGGUUUAAACCUAUGCCUGGAAACUUAAGUGGCAGCAUAUUGUGGUCUGCAGUUUUUGAGACAAAAGAGCAGGAAGGCAGUGUUUCAAAAAUGAGUUCCCAUGAGAAAAGAGAGAAUGAAGACACUAUGUCUGAAAUGAGAUCUCCUUCUCCCAGAUCAAGCUGUGCAUCUUUGUCUGAUAAUUCCAUAUACAAGCUGCCCCCUGAAAUCAGUGAUGCAACAGAGACCUCCAGUGACUGCAGAAAAAACAGGAAGAAGAGAUCAAAAUCUCCAGAACCCAGCGGUGUGUCUAUGAAUAGUACAAGAUCCAUGGAUUUUGCCAUUUCAUUCAAUGAUGGAACAGUGACCUCUUCCCCACAGUUAGUAUAAAUAUUUAGUUGCUGAUUUACUGUAAUUUACCUUGAUUAAAUAAUGGUUUCAGAAACCCAAUAAACACUUAAUGUUCUCCA